AUGUGCCUUUCCACGAUUCCUGGCUAUCAGGAGCUUGUCUCUACUACACACUCCCACCAUGAAAUUUCAUGCUUCACCACAGAAGAAAAGCCAAUGAAACCAAACAACCAUGGACUAAAACCUCUAAAAAACAUAAGCCAAAAUGUUUACUCAGAGAAGUGGAUUGGGUAUUUUUUUAUCACUGUGACAGGAAGUUGACUAACAGAUCAGGCCAACAGAAAUGCUGAUGAAGGAGGUUUGGUGCCAGCAGUGGUCACAGACACACUUUCUGUAGCACCCUGCCCUGUCAUGCCCCAGAGCACUGCUGAAGCUUGGCUCUCCCAGAAUUCCUCUGGGUCUGCAACUUUUUUAGCUUUGGAACCACUCAUGCCCGUGGAGGAACCUGCAAUGUCCAGUGACCUAUGUGAAAAAAGAAAAGACAAACCAACAAAAGUUAUUUAGCUAAAGGUCAAGAAUCCAGUAGUUGUUUAGUCUACAGGAAUGGGUGUCUCAAAAGUCUCAAUCUGGUACCAGAGUCCCAGCUGAGUUCUGAAGAGCUGCUUGUCUUCAGUGUAUCUGGAAAUCCUGAAGAGGAAGGUUCUAACUCUAAUGAAAGAUUGCCUCAGCAACAGGAUAGAUGAACCUGCCAGUGAGAGUGUGAUCAAGCAGGCAAAAAGCAAAAAUUUCCUUCUUCCACUUGGGCUACAACCAGGAAGCAUAGCCCAUGUUUAGAAUGCGUCCUCCCUCUUCAUAAGAUCAAGACUUAAGUACACUGUAGAUGUCUUCUGACACGCCAGAAGAGGACACAUAAGCUUCUACUGUGGACAGCAGUUUUGACCAUGGAAUAUAUCUUACACGGGACACGUCCAAUCAAUCAAAGAGGAUCGCAGAGUAAAACAAGCAGGAAGUUGAAUGUCAAGAUUCAUGAUACAACUUAAAACUAACCCCCAUGAACAAUCCAUGGUUGGAACUCACGCUGCCCAGCUAUGGUAUAAUAAACUGGAAUGCACUCUCUACGCCUUGGAAAAGCUAAAAGAUACUGUGCAUUUGGACACACCAGCAAGGAGAAAAUGCUGUGAGCAGACUGAGCAAAGACUGCUCCUGGAUGGACGCCCCGCUUCUGUGUUGGGAAGGAAGUAUGAGUCCCUGAGAAAGGGCUUUAUAAGUUUUUGAACUAACCAGAAGAGGACAGGUCUCUUGGCUAAAAACAAACAAUAGCAAGGUUCAUUUUUGCCAAUGUCUAGCCUG
rnacentral:lncRNA from 1 species